GUGGGGAAUCUUCCGCAAUGGACGAAAGUCUGACGGAGCAACGCCGCGUGAGUGAUGAAGGUCUUCGGAUUGUAAAGCUCUGUUAAUCGGGACGAAAGAGCCUAGUGUGAAUAAUGCUAGGAAGUGACGGUACCGGAAUAGAAAGCCACGGCUAACUACGUGCCAGCAGCCGCGGUAAUACGUAGGUGGCAAGCGUUGUCCGGAAUUAUUGGGCGUAAAGCGCGCGCUGGCGGAUCUGCCAGUCUGUCUUAAAAGUUCGGGGCUUAACCCCGUGAUGGGAUGGAAGCUACAGAUCUAGAGUAUCGGAGAGGAAAGUGGAAUUCCUAGUGUAGCGGUGAAAUGCGUAGAUAUUAGGAAGAACACCAGUGGCGAAGGCGACUUUCUGGCCGAAAACUGACGCUGAGGCGCGAAAGCCAGGGGAGCGAACGGGAUUAGAUACCCUUGUAGUCC
rnacentral:rRNA from 1 species